rnacentral:siRNA from 1 species
GGCUCAGGUUGGAAGGAUUGGU